GUCUAUGGCCAUACCACCCUGAAUGUGCCCAAUCUCAUCUGAUUUCAGAAACUAAACAGGGGUGAGUCUGGUUAGCACUUAGUACUUGGAUGGGGGAGUUAUUCAUUUAAUCACCAAAAAUA
rnacentral:rRNA from 1 species